rnacentral:rRNA from 1 species
UUGAAUUUCUGAGCUCGCCGAGCGGCGGUCUUUGGCCGACCACUCCGCAAGUUCAUCCUCGCCCCUCGGGGCGUCAUUUACUGUGAAAAAAUUAGAGUGUUUAAAGCAGGCUUUAGGCUUGAAUACAUUAGCAUGGAAUAAUGAGAUAGGACCAAGUCGUAUUUUGUUGGUUGCGCGAUUCGGUAAUGAUUAAUAGGGACAGUUGGGGGUAUUCAUAUUUAAUUGUCAGAGGUGAAAUUCUUAGAUUUAUUAAAGAUGAACUACUGCGAAAGCAUUUACCAAGGAUGUUUUCAUUAAUCAAGAACGAAAGUCAGGGGAUCGAAGAGGAUUAGAUACCCUCGUAGUCUUGACCAUAAACUAUGCCGACUCAGGAUUGGCACCCUUUUUUAACAGGGUGUCAGCACUGUAUGAAGAAUCAAAGUCUUUGGGUUCCGGGGGGAGUAUGGUCGCAAGGCUGAAACUUAGAGGAAUUGACGGAAGG